CAGUUUCUUGUGGCGUCGCUAUGACGACCAGCCACACUCGCCUCAGGCAUGAGGCGGUACUAAAUCUGCAAUGGAAAAUGGAGGACGGGGCACCAUGGUCGAGCCGAGUAGAGUCGAGUCGAGUAGGUACCACUUAAUGGAAAAACGCCAUAAUUGUGGAACUUCAAACAGGAA